AGGAUUAACGCUGGCGGCGUGCCUAACACAUGCAAGUCGAACGGACCUUUAUUUUUGAGAAUUCCGAUUUUAUCGAACGUCUCACAAAUAAUGGUUAGUGGCGGACGGGUGAGUAACACGUUGGUACCUGCCCUCUAGUGGGGGAUAACUGCCCGAAAGGGUGGCUAAUACCGCAUGUGAUCUACGGAUCAAAGCAGCAAUGCGCUAGAGGAGGGGCCUGCGGCUGAUUAGCUUGUUGGUAGGGUAAUGGCCUACCAAGGCGACGAUCAGUAGCUGGAUCGAGAGGUUGACCAGCCACACUGGGACUGAGAUACGGCCCAGACUCCUACGGGAGGCAGCAGUGAGGAUUUCACAAUGGACG
rnacentral:rRNA from 1 species